ensembl:lncRNA
CUGAGACUACAACACUGGCAUUUUAAAAGUGGGGCUAAAGCUGCGCUGGUAUUUGUACACGAGUUAACAUACUAAGUAGGCACUACGGUAGCUGAGCUGUAAAUAUUCAUGGUUGGCUCUUUGCCAUUACGUUGGCUCUAAAAUCGCAUUUUCUGAAGCGUCAUUUCAUAAAGAGAGCAAAAAGCUGCUCUAAAAAUCUUAAAUUAUUUGUAAUUUUGUCUCUCGUUUUAAACUAAUUGUCACUGUGAGUGAAGUGGCAGGCUGGUGCAUCUGCCAUGUCCAAUCACAGACAGAGUAGUGUACAAUGGGAAACUUGAACAGUCUGUCUAAGUGUGUGUAUACAUGUGUUUUUGAGCCAAUCUCAUCAUCAGAGCACAGUCUCGCUUGAUUGGGCAAGGUGAUGCUGACUUGAAUAGCAAAUCAGCUAGGACUAAAGGCUGAACAAUAGUACAUCUAAUUAAUGUUCAUGACCCAGGCUGAUAAAGGAGAUCUGGGUUUCUCUCUGCAUUUCCAUUCAUCACUAUAAAUCUGCAUGUACCCAUACUAAAGACAUGCUGGUAGCAUCAGCCGUGGAGUGAGAAUUAAUCCUACUAAUGGUGAGUGCCUUGCCUUUCAGCAAACCAGCUAAGACUAAUGGCUGAACAAUACCACAUCUAAUUAAUAUUCAAGAGCCAGGCUGAUAAGGUUAAUAAAGGAGGUCCAUGUAACCUGGAGAAAGUCAUCUGUUCACAUUCCCAUUCAUCUCUAUAAACCUGCAUGUUUCCAUCCACAAGAGGAACAGGAGCCAAAGCUCAGCACGGUGUGAGAAGGUUGCCCUCAGGCAAGCAUGAGACUGGCCUUGGUAAUUGGCACCAGUGAACGAGAGGGUCCUGGCACGACUCCGAAAACCAGAGGAAUGUAUGCAUUCUGUCCAGCUUCAGGCAGAGGAGUUAACAGAACAUCGUGUGAAUCAGCGUGUCUCCAGUCUACACUAUCAUUAGCCCUGGGGUGGGCCAGAGGGAAAGCAAGGGACUGUGGUGCAUCUCUUUUCAUUUACCUUUUUUUUUUUUGUUUACCUCACCCAUCUAUUCUCUCUUCAUGAGUCAUUAUUCCCCAUCUGCAGACACAUACAGUAGCUGGAGUGACGGUUGUUGUAUGGGCAUGCACAGAAAAUGAUCAAUACAAUAUUGUCACCAAACACAUCAUUUUUCAGUUGGGUUUACUCAAGCCAUCCGCUCUGUCACUUCUCAGUUUUUUAUUUUCUCUGCUACCUACAUUGCAUUCAUUCCACUCUGCCUUUAUUCAUAUUUGAAAUGCCGUUGUUGAAAUAAUCUCUUCACUGGCAUGUUUAUUCAGGGACAAUAUGGGAAGGAGACGAACCACUCAUAGAAAAAUUAAUGUAAGAAUAUUGCACGUGUAGAGAUGGAGCUUCUGCCUUUUGAUGGAGGGGUGGGUGGUAUGGUCAAAUGAAUUCAUGCUAGAAGUAAUUUAUUAUUUUUAUAAAUAUAGUGUGAUUUAAGAUUUUGACCAUAUAUACACAGAACUGUUCUAAAGUUUUAUUAUUUUUAUUAUU